GUCCAGAUGAUGAAUCUCAAACAGGACGAAAUGCGCAUCCUUGAU
rnacentral:hammerhead_ribozyme from 1 species